rnacentral:rRNA from 1 species
UACGAAGGGUGCAAGCGUUGCUCGGAAUUAUUGGGCGUAAAGGGUAGGUAGGUGGUUACGUAGUGUCUGAGGUGAAAUCCCUAAGCUUAACUUAGGACGUGCCUUGGAAACGGCGUAACUAGAGUGCUGGAGAGGUUCGUAGAAUUCCCGGUGUGAGCGGUGAAAUGCGUAGAGAGUCGGGAGGAAUACCAGAGGCGAAGGCGGCGAACUGGACAGUUACUGACACUC